CAUGUUUGAGCAGAACGCCUCUUACCUCUUAAGUUUUUUUUUUUCAAACCCUUAAAAACUAAUGUUUUUCUGGCUUUUAAUAUGAGCCAAUCCUAUCUUUCCCAUUAAAGGUUUUUAAUAUCUUAUCCACAUUGUGUAUGUUGUUUUAAGGGGCAACAGAAGGAAAAGCGUUCUCUACGUGAUGGGUUCUCGGGACUCUGAGAGUCUGAUCUUCCCUCUCUCUGGUCCUGGAGAUGGUCCAGUGAUGAAGGACACCGACCAGCCAACGUUGAGACCUGUGUUUGAACCUCACCUGAGGUGAGGACAGCCUGGAGAUUUGGCAUAAAGAAGAACACAAAGCUUCAGGGAGGAGAGUGAAUACUAGCUGGAAGUGACAGGAAGCGAAAGCUGCAAGUUAAAGAGUGAAGAUGAAGACGCUUUGAAUUGAUGACAGAAUUAAAAAGCUGUAGAAAACAUCUGGAGAAGACAAAAUUAUGAACUGAUUUUUGUGAUCGGCAUUAAAAAAAGUCAUAACUUUUAUAUGCUGAGUACAUUA